GAUGAACGCUGGCGGCGUGCCUAAUACAUGCAAGUCGAGCGAACAGACGAGGAGCUUGCUCCUCUGACGUUAGCGGCGGACGGGUGAGUAACACGUGGAUAACCUACCUAUAAGACUGGGAUAACUUCGGGAAACCGGAGCUAAUACCGGAUAAUAUAUUGAACCGCAUGGUUCAAUAGUGAAAGACGGUUUUGCUGUCACUUAUAGAUGGAUCCGCGCCGCAUUAGCUAGUUGGUAAGGUAACGGCUUACCAAGGCAACGAUGCGUAGCCGACCUGAGGGGGUGAUCAGCCACACUGGAACUGAGGCACGGUCCAGACUCCUACGGGAGGCAGCAGUAGAGAAUCUUCCGCAAGGGGCGAAAGCCUAACGUAGCAAAGCCGCCUGAGUGAUGAAGGACCUCGGAUCGUAAAACGCUGUUAGUAGGGAAGAACAAAAGUGUAAGUAACUAUGAACGUCUUGACAGUACCUAGUGAGAAAGCCACGGCUAACUACGUG
rnacentral:rRNA from 1 species